rnacentral:rRNA from 1 species
AUAGCAUAUCAAUAAGCGGAGGAAAAGAAACCAACAGGGAUUGCCUUAGUAACGGCGAGUGAAGCGGCAACAGCUCAAAUUUGAAAUCUGGCCCUUGGGUCCGAAUUGUAAUUUGUAGAGGAUGAUUUUGGUGCGGUAUCUUCCGAGUUCCUUGGAACAGGACGCCUUAGAGGGUGAGAGCCCCGUACGGUUGAAUGCCUAGCCUCUGUAAAUCUCCUUCGACGAGUCGAGUAGUUUGGGAAUGCUGCUCUAAAUGGGAGGUAAAUUUCUUCUAAAGCUAAAUAUUGGCCAGAGACCGAUAGCGCACAAGUAGAGUGAUCGAAAGAUGAAAAGCACUUUGAAAAGAGGGUUAAAUAGCACGUGAAAUUGUUGAAAGGGAAGGAUUUGUGACCAGACUUUUUCUGGGCGGAUCAUCCGGGGUUCUCUCCGGUGCACUUCGCCCAGUAAAGGCCAGCAUCGGUUUUCGGCGUGGGAUAAAAGCAGUAGGAAUGUGGCUCUCUACGGGGAGUGUUAUAGCCUAUUGUAUAAUACCGCGCUGGGGACCGAGGUUCGCGCUUCUGCAAGGAUGCUGGCGUAAUGGUUAUCAAUCACCCGUCUUGAAACACGGACCAAGGAGUCGAACAUUUGUGCGAGUGUUUGGGUGUUAAACCCUCACGCGUAAUGAAAGUGAACGGAGGUGAGAGCCCUUACGGGUGCAUCAUCGACCGAUCCUGAAGUUUUCGGAUGGAUUUGAGUAAGAGCAUAACUGUUCGGACCCGAAAGAUGGUGAACUAUGCGUGGAUAGGGUGAAGCCAGAGGAAACUCUGGUGGAGGCUCGCAGCGGUUCUGACGUGCAAAUCGAUCGUCAAAUCUGCGCAUGGGGGCGAAAGACUAAUCGAUCCAUGUGCGG